ensembl:lncRNA
CAAAGAGCUACACUUGUGGCUGUACAUAAGGAUCAUGGUGGAGAAAAGUGAAAGUCCCAUCUUUUCUUUCUUUCAAGUUUUCUGGGUCAUGACUCAUGCUGAGGACUACAGAGUUCUACAGCAGAACAUAACAAGAAUAUGAAUGCAGAUUUUCAGAUCUGAAGAGAAAGUCUGGAGGUGGAGAAAGGAGAAAAACUUUGACUUCAUCACACUGCUGUCAGCAAGAAGGAGGGGAAGAAGCUGCUACACUCUUUACAUUUCUGAACUGGGAAAGCGUAUCACUGUGAUCAGAGACACUGUGAUUAUCUCUAUGUAAAGAAAAAAAAUCAACUACAAUAAUCAAAAACAACCACAGCAAUCUCCAUUUCCUUGCAAGGGGAAAGAAGAAGGAGGAAACAGAAGGAGAUCAUAGAAUCACAGAAUUGUAGGGGCUGGAAGGGACUUCUAGAGACCACUGAGUCCAGCCACUCUGAAAAGCAGGCCCCCUACCACAGGCUUCACAGUUGGGCAUCCAGGUGGAUCUUGAAUAACUCCAGAGGAGAAUCUACAACCCCCCCAGGCAGCCUGUUCCAGUGCUCCAUCACCCUUACUGUGAAGAAGUUCAUUUACAUAUUGGUGUGGAUCUUCCUAUGCUUCAGUUUAUGGUUGUCCCUUGUCCUGUCCUCACAGACUGCUGAAAAGAAGUUGGCCAUGUCCCUUUGACUCCCAUCCUUAAGACAGUUAUAAACAUUGAUAAGACCACCUCUGAGUCUUUUCUCAAGGCUGACAGACCCAGGUCACUCAGCCUCUCCUCACAGGAAUAGCGUGGAUGAGGUUUUGUGAGAUGCUUCUGUGACUUUUGCUGAUCAGAAACAAUGAAGAAUUUCAGAAGAAUGAUUUACCUCAUCCAAAAUGAGAAUUCUGAUACUGUUUGAGGGG